AUCCUUGUAAGGAUCCAGUAGAAUGAAGUCGAGAAGUUCAUAGGGUCCAAAUAGGUCACUGCGAGGAAUUGCCCAUGAUGCGAACAUAUUCAUGAUUUUUUUAACUUCAGUUCUAUUGAAAGUAUGGGAAUUAUUGGCAUUAUCAACAUAUACAGGAAAAAGCUUCAGAGAUAUUCUCAGUCGAGGUCCAUUUUCCCAUACAAAUGAAGUAAUGUCCAGCUGAUCGAGAUCUAAUUUGAUACCAGAAGUAAGAUACUGCUCAUAUGUACUUUCGUAAGGGCGAAAAUCUGUGAAUGCGGGACUUUUCAACCGAAUGUCAACAAUUAGAGGAGCAGCACAAAAACAAGCUACAGGAAUAUAUUCGAAAGCGGGUGGACAUGCUUGAUUCGGACAGUUGGCAGUGGAGUUAGUCGAAAUAUGACUGUCAUUUUCAUCAUCACUUUCUGUUCCGCAGAAGUUAACAAGGUUGCCAUUUGAGCAAACCGGAUUUCCCCGAAGCCUGAACAAUAAUAAUCAGAAGAGAAAGUUUAACGGAGUAUUUCAUUUCAGAUGCUGGAUAUUUGCAUAAGAACAACAUAACUUGCACUUAGAGAUACAUUAACAUAGAUCAAAGUCCAGAAGCAAACCAGACAGUGACAUUUUGCGGAAGUACAGUACUGCCGGUAAUAUUUGUAAGCUUAUUGUUCUGCAUCUCCCUACAAUAUCAGAAGCCACACUUCACUAAAAUUUCAAGAAGAUGCUAUAAAACAUAUUAGUAAAAAGAAAAGGAUGACCGGAAUAGGAAAUGGAAUAACAUUUCUAAACACCGGCAUCCUAACACUAGAGAGUGUAAAUUCACACACACAACAGAAGUAACAAUUUUUCUCACUCCAGUUCUUACAUGAUUAGUCUUUCUGUCUUGUUGAGUUUCCGGUUUUGCCAAAGCGUUGCUGGAAUGGAGCCGUUCAAUGAAUUGUUUGCUAUAGACCUGCCAUGCGGAAUAAACUCCCACUUUACUUCAUAACAUAGUUUUCAUUUUUGGCACUGCUACAACAUUUGAUAACAUCUUAAAGAGCAAAACUUCAAACUCUUGCUGUUCACAAAGUAAGAUAGAUGGAAGCUCGAAAACACCAAAAGAUCAGUUUGAAGUGGCUCACAAUCUCUGAAGAUUAGGAAGAUCUGAAAAGUUGCCAGGAAUUGUUCCGGUCAGAGUGUUGUUAGAUAAAUUGCUGCGCACAAAGUUCAUACGUCGAAUAUUAUACAUCCAUGUAAUCCUUUUAGAAUUGAUUAUACGAUCUUCAAAGCUUAACAAUGCUUUUCAGAGAACAUUUAACAAGAAACUGCUACUAAAUGUCAAAUAUAAUAUAUAUGGCAUAUCAUUUGCAAGGUAGAUAGUAUCUUACAUCGUCGUGAUGUUAUCAGAAAGUGUACCCUGAGGCAAGGAUCCGUUUAGCCGAUUUGAGCUUAGGUCUCUGAAAAUUGGUAUUAAUAAAUAACAAAUUGCAUAAGAUACUGUCGAAACAUAACGUAUACUGUAUUCUAAGAAUUUAGAAAAGCAAGAAAAUCAAAACAAAUAAUGGGGUAUGAAGUGAAACUUCUUGAAUGAACUUACAUAUAAGCAAGGCUUGGAAUCCUACUCAAAUCAGGAAUAGGCCCUUGUAAGCUGCAGUUCCUCAAACUCCUGAAAGAAACAACAAAAACACAGACAUUCAAUCUUGACAUGAUUCGUCGUGUUAAAUGCAGAGCAUACUUCUCGAUUGUCAUUCCAAACAACCAGGGCACAUCACCUAACGUGAUAUAAACAGCAACAGGAGAUGUUCCCUGCGCAGUGGUUCGACAUAUGUGUUUCCCAACAAAAACUAUGAUUCUCUCUGUUUUUUGCUAUGAUUAAUCACAAAUCUUUUGGCAUUACACCUCCAUAGUCGGGGCUUUACAUCUGAUGUAUGAAUUAUGAAUAAAUAGAGAUUCUAGUCCUUAGAUCACACACUUUACCUUUAAACCAACUAAAAGACAUAGAAUCAGAAGGAGCACUUACAACUUCAACAGUUUAGACAUGUCGCUAUACGAAUCUGGAAUUGUAGUCCCUUCAAAGUUGUUGUUGUCAAGUUGACUGCAAGACAAAUAAGAUGGUAAGGCUAAGAAACUCGACACGGCAUUGUUGUUAUAGAAAAGGAAAUUCUAAAGAAUUGUUCACCAACAGUGCGAAAAUUCAAGAAAGGAAAGGGUGAACAGAUAAUUAAGGUGCGAAUUUAUGUUCCAAAAGUAAGGAAACAUACAGUAUUAAUAAGCUUGGCAACUCCGAGAACUGCGGUGGAAGAUACCCAGAUAAGUUGUUGUUGUCAAGAAGACUGCAAUGAGUUCGAUACAUUUAUUCAACUCGAGGUGGCUAUACAGACACACAAAUGAAGAGGGUAAACUGAAACUAAUGAACCAAGUUGAAGAUUCUUAAUAUCGCUGGCGUUCUACUUACAAGUGAAUAAGCCUUGGUAAUCUGGAAAGCUCCGGUGGAAUUUGCCCGCUUAUUGAAUUGUUGUUCAUGUGACUGCUCAAAAGGGAAAAGAUACGAAACAUAAGGAAGAGAGGAAGUAUAACAAACACAAGAUAAUAUUACACUUUUUAAACUAAAGCAGCAUAAGAAAAACCCUUACAAAUGCCUUGUCUUGUUUAAAUUUGCAAACGAUAUAGGUAUUGAUCCCGAUAUUUGGUUCUCGUCAAUUUGUAAUCUGUCCAAUUUUGGAAGAUAACCAAGCUUUUCGGGCAAGGAACCUGAUAACUGGUUUCCAUUGAGGAGCCUGUAAACACGGAAUAUUAGAUAGAGAUUUAACCAAAUAUUGCCAAAAAUAUCCAAACAGCUUAACUUACAAAAGUUCCAAGGAUGUAAUAUUGCCUAUCUCCUUUGGUAUACUUCCACUUAUUUUGUUCCACAUAAAAUUCCUAUCAGAAGAAUUGAUGGAGGAAUGUCAUCAGAGGAGAGAUAAAAUCAUUCACCGGCAUAUUAGGGAGGAGAUUAACAAGUUUUCCGUAAUGCUGAGAUAACAUUGGCCAAGAAUUUAAAGCUUCUUUCAAGGUAUGUGGUGCCUUACAGUAUCUUCAUAUAAGAUAAGCGGCCGAGCUCUGGCGAUAAACUUCCUGACAGGUUCAUAUUUAGUAGUCGCCUGCAGUAAAGAAGAACAUGUCAUUAUAGCCAAACUCUACUCUAAAUUUAAAAGUUCAACAUGCUUCCGACGUAACAAAUAAACUUUUCAUGCAAGACAUUGAUCAUUACUUGAUUCCGUAAACCCUAGAUGACUACUGAUUGACGUUGGAACAGGAUCAAAUUAGCUGAUUUUCCUAUUUCAUUAAGAUAUUACUACGAAGUUCAUAAUGGAAUCACCUAUGAGCAGGGAAAUUUGCUCGUUAAGACCACUUGGAACCAGACACAUGGGAAUUAAAUCUCUCCACACACGGGGAACAAGAUGAGACGAGAAAAGGCAAGGGUCAAAGGGAAAAUAUAUCCAAAAAGUCAGCUGCUGCAAAGUACAGGUAAAAUUUGGAAAGAUUGAAACGUACAGUUCUUGAACAUGAAGAUAGCCAUCAUCUAAUGUUUUGUUGUAGCAAAACACUCCUGUCCAAUUUGCUGUGCAUGGGUCUCCUUGAUUCCAGUUGCUCAGAUUCUUGUUGGGAUCAACCAAACUUCCUUUGAUGGCUCGCAGCGCCGUCACUGCAAUUUAGCACAGUUGAUAACCUUACUUGAUUGACACAACCAGACUAAAUUUUUCAAAAGAGACCAACUAUGAGCAUAUCAGAAUUAAGCAACAAGGGAAUGUCAAAAAUCAUGCUAUACAUCAGAAAUGAGUCGAAAUUCACAAGAUUAUUAUUCGAGUGCAUGUAUGUACUGGAAGUGGACAUAGACCUCAAUCCGUCUAGAUGAAAGUAAACUAGAAAUCGGUCACUUAGUUUGUCAAUUGAAGUUACCGUGUCAGCACAUAAGGCAACCAUACACCUGAAUAUAAAAACUUCUAAACCGAACUCAUACCAUAAUAAAUGUAUUCAAGUAUUCCCUAUACUACAAUUUCCUGAAGAAAGCCAGUCAGAAUUCAAAGCUUCACGAAUCAUAAGCAAAAUCACCUUCUGCAGGGUCGGUGAUAUUAAGAUUUUGUGCUCCAGCGCGUAGCGGAGACCAGCACAGGAACGUGACGAAAACAAAUGCAUAUGUCCAAACUCUUGAUUGAUGCAUCCUGAGACCGCAAAAAUAACUACAGCUCUAAUUUACCCCUUGCAACACAACAGCAGAAAUUUAUGCAGAAUUGGAACAGUCCCCCUGAUAGCAAGCAUAAAAAAAAAAGAUUGCAAAUUGAAUCAGAAAGCAACCAAACAUAUUGAAAGCACAGCUUCAACACUACAAAGUGAACUGAUAUCUCAACUCUUCAAGCAAUUCAACACUAAAAGCAAUAACCUCCAACAACUUCAGAACAAAAUAUACGAGAAUCUAAAGUGAAAAUUCAUACGGCAGACAGCUUGGACACAAAAUAAAGAAAACCGAACUGCCAGAAACUCACAGAAACAUAGCAAAACGGAGAUAUUGAUACCAUGGACAAAUUCAAAGCUUUGAAAUUUAAAAACAAAUGAUGCAAAACGAGAUAAGCUUUUGGUUUUGGGUUGAAUUUUAUUUGAAUAUACUACCAACUGUGAGAAGAUUAAUAGCAUGAAAAUAAUAGAAGAAAAGUUGCCCGGGAGUUGGGCUUGGUAUUUUUCUGACCAGGUCCGCCUAAUGCUGGGUAGAUGACUGAAGUUGAUGGUGGCGAUGACUAUACAGCCCAUCCUUUUCCAUUUUUUAUGGCUUGGUAUUUAUUAUGGCGUUAACUAAUUAUCUGUCAUGAAUCAUGCUGAAAAAAGUCGCAUUCAAAUAAAAUGUUCACUAACUAUGAGGAAUCAGAUUCUCGUAAAAUUAGUUUGAUUAAAGAAAAUAAAGGAGAAACUUUUCGUUUUAGGUUAGGGGAGGAUUUUUGUGUUCACCUGGAGGACGAGUUCAUAUGUUUGCCUAUUCAACCAAGCAGUCCCUCUCGAUUGCAUGAUGGAUGAGCGUACAAAUACCGUCGUGUUAGGAGUGGACACAAGAAUCUUCCUCGAACUUUGGACAAUGUUCGAUUUGCCUUUGAAAUUUUCAAUUAGUUUUGAAUCUGCUAAACUUUCAAUUCGUGUCAAUAUCCUCCCAACUAUAAUUAAUGCACAAUUUUUAGUUAUUUCCAUUACAUAUGAUGAACAUAACUUUCAGUAAAUAUUAGGAAUUCUGAUAAUUGAGUUAUGAGAUAAAUUAAGAGGAACCGAAACUUACAUAUUUUCUACAAAUUCAAACGCUUUCGUUAUGCAAAAUGCACAAACAUAACCGUUAAUUUAACGGGAUAAUUGAUAAAGCUAAUGGUAGAGGAGCAUUAGCACGAACAAAAAAAAAGUUUAGGGAGUUUAGAACCGGAUUGAAAAUUAUAAGACAAAGUAAAACAAGUCCACUAAUUCACUAAUAUGGUUACAUAUAGAUUGACCAAGUUAGUCUUGUAUUCAUAUUCUGAAGUUUUUAUUUUAAUAUUUGAGUGAAUUGUAGCAAUGGUCCCUGAACUUUGAUCAAAUUGGAGCAAUGGUCCAUCAACUAAAAAUCCAUUACCAUUGGUCCCUCAACUUAUCAAAAUAUGUAGCUAUAGAGUCCUUUUCAUCAAUUUCUUCAAAAUUUUGUCAAAAUAAGUUAUGUUGAAAUAACCAUUUAUAUAAUUAGGGUCCCUCAACUCAUCAAAGUGUGUAAUUAUGGUCAUUUUCGUCAACUACAUCAAAAAUUUUGUCAAAACGAGUUAUGUUGGAAUGACCAUUGCUACAAUUGGGUUAAAGUUAAGAGACUAUUUCUCUAGUUGAAUUAAAGUUGAGGGACCAAUGGUAAUGGAUUUUUAGUUAAGGGAUCAUAGUUGCACGUUUUGAUAAGUUGAGGGACCAAUGGUAAUAGAUUUUUAGUUGAUGGACCAUUUCUCCGAUUGAGUUAAAGUUAAGGGACUAUAGCUACAAUUUACUCUUAAUAUUUGAGACCCUUACGAAGAUUGAAAUUAUCUCUUAAUUCUCUUAAUAAAAUUCAUUUCUCCUAAAAAUCUUCUUGUAACUUUUCACUGUAACGGGCCACCAACCACCACCUCCUCAUUACUACAAAAUGGUCUAAUAGUGUCAGUAGGUGGUGUCGGUUUAAUUUAAUAUAGUGACGGAUAAGACAGUUGCGACACUAACUGAACAUGAUGUCGGAUUUACUGUCGCUUAUAAGCGUCAUUAAGUACUAACCGACAUAAACAUACAUUUUAAUAUUUUAAAUAAUGGUGUCACUUUUAAUUUUUAAAUACUGGUGUCGCUUUUAAAUCGACGUAAACAUACAUUUUAAUAUUUUUAAAUACUGGUGUCGCUUUUAAGCGACAUAAAGUAGGAGAGCUUUUCAAUCAAUGUUGCAAAAGCUUCCUUAUUUCGACGCCACAUCAGGCUCACGUCGGUUUAAACCGAAGCAACUUGGCCUAUUUCGAGGCCGCCUUGAAAAACCCAACCCCAUUUCAUUUUUAAAAAUUGUUUUAAAGCCUUAAUUGGUGAGCCCGUGGGGCCCACCUUUUUUUAUUUUUAUGUUUUCUGAUCUCUCUCUUCUUCUUCUUCGUCUCUCCCUCCCGUAGCUCUCUCAACUCUCCCGUAUCCCUCUCCCUCAACCUCUCGCAUCUCUCUCUCCCCCUGGACUCACUUGGACCUUAGCACCAUCAGGAAAGACUCGCCACGAACCAGGGACCCCUGCCUUACGAGUUUGACGACACGGAGCAAAACUCCGGCGAACCUUUUCUUCUUUUCCGUUGGGGUAAGUCUCGAAUCCCUCAUUCUCGUACCUAGCAUAAUGCUUGGUUAUGAUUUAGAAGCUUGAACCUUCCAUUUUUACGUAGGAUUUGCUUCGGAAUCGUUGUGGGUGAGCACACCCGUUUUCCGGCGAACCAUGGACUUUGGAAGCUUUUUCCGGUCACCUCCGACCGAGUCACGGUCUUUGGAAGGUAGAAACCUCUUCCUCUCUCUUUGUUCUUCAUGUUUGUACUUAGAUCGGAGCGUGAAGCCCCUGUUUUCAGGUGACCGGAGCUGUAGCAGCUCCGGCCUUCUUCUUCCUCAGCAUCAGGCCAUCCGGCCUUUCCCAUUUCCUCCCCUCGAGCCUUAGGUCCGUGUUGUCUUAAGCCUAAAACCCUAGCCCCUUUAGUUUUUUUUUUUUAAGUUUUGUUAAUUGGUUUUAAAACCCAACGAAAGGCCUCGGGCCUUAUUUAAAAAGGCCUUGGGCCGGUUUCAUUUAAAAAGGCUUAAAGCCCUGUUUUUUUUAGUGAGGCCUUAGGGCCUUGGUGCCGUGUGUGUGUGUGUAUGGUUAGGCAUGUGUGUGUGUGUGUGUGUUUAUCCAUGCACAUGCAUGCCGUGCAUGUGUGUGUGUGUUUGUGGUGUAUAUGUGUGUUGGGCUUAGGCCCAAACCCCAAUUCUCACCCUAAUACCCUUUUAACCCAAAACCCUAGGUUCCUAAAAUCCUUUAAAACCUUAGAAAACCCAAAACCCAAUAAAUCAUAAUCCUAUUUAACCUAAACCAUAAUCUGGAUUUCAAGCCUAAAACCCGUUAGACCUAAAUUGACCCUUGACCUCCGGUCAAUGUUGACUUUAGGGUUUACUUUUCGAGUUUUCGUCUGGGACUCUUCUUAGGGUAAUUCGACGUUCUGAAUCCGUUUCCAAUGUCCGUUUUCCCAAAUUCAAUCGUUUAAGUAGAGUUUGACUAAAUGUUCUCUUUAUGUGCUUAGGGGCAAUUAUUAUGACGUUUCCGUCUUUGCUAGUGACGCAGCUUUUGGUAGCUAAGUACUGUGAGUUGACCCCUUCUAAAAUUACAUGAUUUUAUAGUUUAAUUGCAUAAAUGAUUAGCAUGCCUAUGAAUUUAUGAAGUGAUUUAUGUGAAGCCUGUUGAUUUAAUAUAUUGAUUUUCGUCUCGUGUUUUUGGUGAGGAAUUAAUUGUUAGCCUAUAUUGAGUUAUAUUUUAAUAUAUCGUAUUUUCUAUAAAAACCAUGAACUGGUAGACUAUCCGAUGGAUGACGAUAGGAUGCUAGAACAUGUUUUUGAAACCCCUCUUUAUAGUAUAGAUGAUGGGUGACUUUAUACUAUGAAAUGGUUAUUUAUGAGAGACGUAACUAUUUGUGUGUACCUAGUGGACACUAUGCCGCCUGGGGCGAGGAUCUGGUGUUGGCAUUUAGGCCGGGAGAAAUAAUCCCUAGCGAAAGGCUGAGGGACACGGUGACAGGCAUUGGGCCAGGAGAGAGUUAUCUCUGGCUACGGGUACAGAGACUUAGGUGCAGGCAUUGGGCCAUGUUUAUUCGGUGAUCUUACUAGCAGCACAUCGCGCUUACAAGACGAUUUAUGAGACGUUUGAUAUUUUGAUUUCCGCGAUGAGUUUCCGCGAUAUGGCUUUUGAGAUAUUUUGGCAUGUUAGGAUUUUGAUUUAAAUCCAUCGCUUAUUAUGCUAGUAGUUUUCAUUAUUAAACUUUAGGGGUUAGUACGUUGAUAAUUGUUUUAUUAUUAUAUAUAUAAACUUGGUCCACUCACCUUUGUUUUGCGCCCCCAUUCAGGACUUAGAAUCAAGGCACCUAAUUCCGGCGUGAAGGCACUUCCGCAGCAGCAUCUUCGGAUCCUCUUGAUGUAGGACCCACUCCUUUAUUCAUUAAAUUUUAUCUUAAUUCUUUUUAGUGAUUAUGUUUAGUUGUAUGCUUUGAGCACGUUCCUAAAACUUUUAACUCAUUGUAAAUUUCUAACCCUUAUUUAUUUCUUAUUCUUAGCUUUUGUAUCAAUUAAUGGCUUUCGUCACCCCCGGGUGUCAGCCAGCACGUGUCUGGUCCUGGUAUUCGGGGAAUAUCAGGGUCGGGGUGUGUCACGCCUGCUACGACUGUCAAGACUGUCAGGGACACGUCGGUUUUAACCGACGCAAACUUGUCCUUAUUUCGACGCCACACAAACUUGUCCUUAUUUUUUAAAAUAUUUUAAAGCCUACGUCGGUUCUGAGAGACAUAGAUUUUAGUUUUUUAAAAUAUUUUAAAAUCCGGUGUCAGUUGUAAGCAACAGAAUAAUUGUCUUUAAAUACUUUCCCCCGUGUUGUUUCCUCUCUUGCAUUUUUCUUAUUCGUUCUUCCAAUUUCAAACUGUCCCGUGUUCUCUCUUGCACCUUUGUUCUUCCAACUUCAAACCCUCCCGUGUUCUCUCUUGCACCUUUCUUAUUUUUUCCUUCUUCACAACAAUAAGUUUUUCUUUCUUCUAAUAUUUUUAUUUUCUCCACUUAUGUUUAAUUUUUAUUUACAAUUUAUUUUUGUAGGGAAUUUAUUUGAGCUGGUUGAGUACAUAAAGAUUUGAUCGACGACGGAAUUCUUCCAUAAUUCAGGUUUCUAUCACUAAAUUCUUUAAUUCUUAUAUUGUAUAAUACACAAGUUUAUUUAUUUAAAAGUUCUAAUUUAAGUACUUAGAUAAAUUUAUACUAUUUUUGUUAAAUUAAUAAAUAUUUAGUCGAAUUAAUUAAUUUUGUCACUUGAAUUGUUAUGAGAAAAAGGAAAUGAAUAAUAUUUAUAACCAUUUAUGUGAAAUUGACAUAUUAAUUAUAACAUAAACUUAUAAUAUUUAGUAAUAUAAGAAUAUAUUAUGUUAAAUUAAUUUGUUUUGCACUCUAAUUUUUAUUUUUAUUUGUUUUUGUUGUUAUUUUGAUAACUUUGAUAACUUUUGGUUGUUAUUUACUAGAAUGGAUUAGAUGAGCAUAAUUUUGAUAACUUUUUGUUGUUAUUUUAAUUUGUUUUUACUAUAAUAGGUGUUGAAAAUUAAAAGAUUGCAAUCGUGAUAGAGUUCAAGGGUUAAAAGAUAGAAAUUGAAAAUUCUAAUAGUUAUGCCUAUAUGAUAGGGAUUGAAAGAUUGUAGGCAUCUUAGUGUCAACGUAAUAUUUUGCCCUCGUAAAGCGGUAAAACAUGGACAGGAGUUGGUUGACGAUAGCUCGAAAUUUGGAAGCUUAUACAGCUAGAAUUAAUUUGUUUUUGGACCAAGCAGUUGCAAAUGGUGUUGACCCUGAUAAGUUUAGAUGUCCUUGCAAAAGAUGUUGUAAUCGAUAUACUUUUGUUAGGAACAUUGUUGUUGAACAUCUCAUAUUGUAUGAUAUGGAUAAAGAUUAUAAAAACGCAUGGUGGCGACAUCAUGGUGAGAAAAACAUUGGAGAGCAAAAUGUGGCAAUCGGAGAAGAAGAAACAGGAGAUGAGGUGGUUGGUAUGCAUGAUUUUCUUAAUGAUGUAUUUGUCCAAUCAUUAACAGAAGAAGGUGUUGGGCUGUCUACUGAACCCCUUAUUGGGGAAUGGAGUCCAGAAGAGGUGGAGACUUUUUUUAGGUUGCUUGAAGAGGCAGAUCAAGAUUUGUGACCAGGAUGAAAAAAGUUUAAGAAAUUGGAAGCAGUUGUAAAACUGUAUUAGAUCAAGUGUUUAACGGGAAUGUCAGACGAGAUCUUCACCACUUUACUGGAGUUAAUUAAAAGAAUGUUGCCUAUUGGGGAUUGUUUGCCUGAUUCCUGUUAUAAGGCAAAAAACUUAUAAAUGACUUGGGUCUGACAUAUGUGAAAAUUGAUGCAUGUCCCAAUGAUUGCAUGAUCAAUUGGAAAGAUACUUCGGAGUUGACCGUGUGCUCGGUUUGUGGUGAAUCAAGAUAUAAAAUUACCAGCGCAGAGGAUAGCUCAAGAAAAAAGAUCGCAGCUAAGGUUAUGUGGUAUUUUCCUUUAAAACCACGAUUGCAACGAUUUUUUAUAUCGAAGCAUACUGCUGAACAUAUAAGGUGGCAUGCAACUGAAUGUCCUAAGGAUGAGUUUAUGAGGCAUCCUUCAGAUUCUCCAACAUGGAAGCAUUUGGAUAAUUUAUAUCCGGAUUUUGCGUCAGAAAUUCGAAAUGUCAAAUUAGGGUUGGCCAGUGAUGGAUUUAAUCAUUUUGGGAAAAUGAGGCAUGACCAUAGCACAUGGCCUGUGGUGCUUUCUGUUUACAAUGUACCACCUUGGAUGUGCAUGAAGUAACCAAAUAUUUUGUUGUCUCUAUUAAUACCAGGGCAGUCCUGGUAAAGAGAUUGAUGUAUACAUGCGUCCACUGAUUGACGAGUUGAAUGAGUUGUGGGAUGUGGGCAUUCCUACUUAUGAUGCAUGUUCCAACCAAAGUUUUUCAAUAAAGGCUAUCGUCUUAUGGACUAUAAGGGUGCGUUUGUUGCGCCGGACUGUCUCGGACUGGACUAGCUGCCGGGACUAAGCUGGACUGGCUUAGACUGGACUAAGCUGGACUAACUUAGUGAAGCAUUUGGUGUAAUGUCGGACUAAGAAGCAGGAUAAGAAAAACAGUACUGUUCACCAGAUUUGUGUUUGCUUAGACUAGGACUACAAAUUUUUGCCAUUGUGUAAUAGAGUAAUGCUACAAAUCUCAUGAUAUGGGUUAAUUAGAGCAUAUUUUUGCCAUGUAUAUUAUGAAUCUUAAAAAAAAUUGACAAUUGUUUUGUUUCUAUUACCUGCUAAUAGAAUUGGGUUUAAUUUGCAAAUGUAGCUUGGUUUAAACUCUAUCACCCAAUAGAAGAAAAAUAAUAGUGCCCAAUACAUGCAACUUCACAAAUACAAGUACAUAAGAAGAUCUCCAUAAUUUAGAAAAUCCUAGUUAACAUUAGUUAACAUUAGCCAAAAUAGAUCUCCAUAAUUUACAAAAUGGCUAGUUAACAUAAGCCAAAAUACUAGUGCAAAGCUAAGUUAUAAGCCAUAACAUAAGAUUGUAUGAUUAAUAAAAUAUAUCCAUGUUAACAUUAGCCAAAAUCCUCAUCCGCUUGCGUUGUCGCUUAAAAACUUUUGGACGAACACUUUCUUGAGUUCCGGUUUGAUUGCCCUGAACACUCCCACAUUUUUUUGUUUAUCCAAAAUAAGAGACAAUGCAUCAAUUUGAUCCAUAGGAGAGAGACCCAUUGCUUCAAGUUCAUUAACUAUGUCAGUAUGAUCUGCAGUACCUUGAACUAAAGCUUCAGUUACCAUUUGCAUCCUCUUCCCACUUUCAACAUAAAAAUCUUUCAGUCCACUGAUAAUUGCCUCGGUUCCAUCACUUUGAACUUCCCACAGCUCUUUUUUCCUCUUUCUUUGGCUAUUUUCAGAUGGGGUGUUUUGUUGGCUUUGUUGGUUCAUUGAAGAAACAAAAUUUUCACCUCCAAUAUCACUUUCACCAACAUGAUCAUGACUUUGUUCCUCCACCAUUUGAGCAGGGGUUUCGGCUACAUUACCCGUAGCCCGAUCUUUUCCAAAUAUAUAUGCAAAUCUAUCAAACAGUGGAAAAGGUUUGCUUCUCCAUCCAUCGGCUUCUUUAUUUCUCUAAGAUUAUAUCAACAUAGCAAAACUAAAAUUUAGCAUGCGUAACAAAUAUAGUAGCAAUAAUAUAACUAAUGUAUAAAUAAAAUAGGAUAUGAACCUGCACAUAAGUUUGCCAUGAGUCAUCACUAUCAACUUCAACGCACUUUUUGACAUCAUUCCAUGCAAAUCCACUUGUGUUUAUCAUGUCAACGACCAUACUAUAUGUUUUUUUCCAUUUCUUCAACUUGGACUCAAUAUGUGGAUUUGCCUUUAUAUUUGAAUGAGGACAUAAAACAUUGACAACUUUUGCUAUUUCAACCAAAGUACCUUGUUUGAAAGCACCGGUGUCACACCGUUGCUUCCGAGCAACAAAAUCCUCAAGAACUCCUAGUAAUACUUCUUCCUCAAAUGCUUCCCAUUUACGCCUUCUUCCUUUUGGCUCUUGAGUAGCAUUCAAAAUAUUUUCGUUAUCCAUACCUAUAAACAAAAAAUAUUUUAAUGAAGGAAAAUACCAUACAAAUAAUCAAUUUGCAUAAUAUCCAAUCAACUUGCAUAAUAUCCAAUUAAUUUGCAUACCAUCCAAUCAUUAUGCUAAUAUCUAACAAAUGCAUGAUAAAAAGGAAUACUAAAAUAAAAUGUUAUCAUUAACACAUAUAGCUAGUUCGGUUGAUGGUUCCUAAUUGCUCUCCACUCGUUAUACAUUUCCUGAGCCAUGUCAUUCCUUUUUGCAGUCCACUAGUCAGAUGUUUGAACACUACCAACAUAUUCACCUUCUUCUGUAUUUUGUCCAUCUUCUAUUAUUGGAAAAUUCUCCAUUGGAUCUACAGACAUCUCUUGCCUAAUAAGAUUGUGUAGUAGGCAACAAGCGGUAAUUAUUCGACCUUGUGUCCUUAUCGGAUAGAAAGAUGGACUCCUUAGUAUUGACCACCUUCCUUUUAGCAAGCCAAAACAGCGUUCAAUUACAUUCCUUGCCUUAGAAUGCUUCAUGUUAAAAUAUUCUUCCUUAUUAGAAGGUGUUCGUCCCUCCCAUUCAGAUAAAUGAUAAGGUAUUCCUCUAUAGGGUGCAAGGAAUCCUUCACCAUUUGUAUAACCACCAUCUACAAGGUAAUAAUAACCUAAUGAAAAAAAAAAAAACAUACCUUAUUAGUGUUUUGUAGUUGACAAACAGAACUAGACCUAACUUACAAAGUUGAGACUAAGUAAUAGUCUUACCCGCUGGUACUUUAAAACCAUUAGGCCUAGUAAUUGCAUCAUGUAGCACUCUAGAGUCUGAUGCGGAAACCCUCCCACCCCGGAAAACACAUAUAUGAACUGCAUAUCUCCUGAACACACACCUAACACAUUAGUUGCGACUCGACCCUUUCUUGUUCGGUAUCUUGGUUUGUCAAUUUCAGGUACAUGCACAUCAAUGUGUGUUCCAUCCAAUGCUCCCAAGCAAUUCUUAAAAAAAAAAAAAAAAAAGUUUUUGUUAAUUUAUACAAAGGGAAUGAAGAGUUAAAGCUUAAGGGAAAAUGAAAAAAAAUUCUCAUCAUACCUUAAAACAUCGCCACCUAGGAUCUGUAGAAUCAAUAGGCACAGGCUGAGGGACUUUUAGUAGGAUACCUUGUAAUCGCAAAAUUCCUUGCAAUACGAUAUUGAAAUACCUACUUAUAGUCUCUCCCGACCUAUAAAAUCUACCGCCAACACUACGAUUCUUAGUAUGAUGUGCUAAUAUUUGUAAAGUCAUACACACCUGCUUCUCUACAGACACCAAACCAUCAGUUUUUACCCUCCCAUCUUGACGAAGUAAGUCACAUAAUAUGCCAAAAGUCCUUCUAUCCAUUCUCAAUUCGUUGACACAUUCAGUAUCAGUAUUCCCUAUUUAUACCAUUCAGAUAACACAAACUAAUCUCUCGUCUAAUAAGUGAACGGUUAGUCAAUGUGGGUCGUUCAACAUGUCUCUGUUUGCCACGUAGCAUCAUCAACACAAGAAUCGUACAAAUGCAAAUUGUCUCCAAAUAAGACAUCUCUAACAAUAAGAUCAAUAAAAGCUUCCUUCGAUCCAUAUCUAUCCAAACAAAAAAAAAAACAAAUUAAGGACAUUAUAUAUGUAAUAUUUACUGUUAUUAAGGGUGAUGGAAAUGAAGUGAUUAUGAUACGAAAUGAACUAGAUCAAAGUAACUAGCGAAGUCACAAUCCGAGGCAUCAAAUAUACGGGUGGUGUUGGAAAAAAAAAGUUAUCAUUAACCCGAGGCAACAAAUAUACAGGUGGCGUUGAAAAAAAAAGUUAUCAUUAACCCAAGGCAUCAUAUUCAAAAUGUUCUACUCUUAUACAUCUAUAAACAUGUGUCUAAGAACACUAGUAUGAGGAUUGCUAUCAUUGCUAGGCAUUGCAUGUGAAGAGGGAAAUUAAAGGACACCUGUAAUGCAGUAGCGUUAGCCUUAGCCUUCCGUUUAUGCUCCUCUUCUCUGCAACCAACAACCACAAAAAAUUGCAAUUCAGCAUCAACCCCACACCAUACAAAACAUUCACAUUGUAAUAUCAUGAUUAUAAACCAAGUACACACACACACACUCAUGGACAAAUGUGCAAAAUACACAUACAUACUCACACUCACACUCACACUAACACACACACACGGACAUACUCACACUCACACACGGACAUACACUCACACACACACACACUGCAUACACACUCACACACAUACUCACACGGACAUACACACUCUCACACACGGACAUACACUCACACACACCCUGCAUACAUACAUACACACACACACACACUGCAUACAUACAUACACACACACACACACACAGCAUACAUACAUACACACACACACACUGCAUACAUACAUACACACACACACACACUGCAUACAUACACACACACACACACACACAGCAUACAUACACACACACACACACACUGGUUAGAUGCACACACUGCACACAUACUGGUCAGAUGCACACACUACAUACACACACACACACUGCAUACACACUCACACACUGCAUACACACUCACACACAUACUCACACGGACAUACACACUCUCACACACACCCUGCAUACAUACAUACAUACACACACACACACUGCAUACAUACACACACACACACUGCAUACAUACAUACACACACACAGGCAUACAUACACACACACACACUGGUCAGAUGCACACACUGCAUUCACACGAACAUACACACUCUCACACACUGACAUACACUCACACACACCCUGCAUACAUACACACACACACUGCAUACACACUCACACACAUACUCACACGGACAUACACACUCUCACACACGGACAUACACUCACACACACCCUGCAUACAUACAUACAUACACACACACACACACUGCAUACAUACACACACACACACACUGCAUACAUACACACACACACACACACGGCAUACAUACACACACACACUGGUUAGAUGCACACACUACACUCACACGGACAUACACACUCUCACACACUGACAUACACUCACACACACCCUACAUACAUACACACACACCCUGCAUACAUACACACACACACACACACACACUGCAUACACACACACACACACACUGCAUACACACUCACACACAUACUCACACGGACAUACACACUCUCACACACGGACAUACACUCACACACACCCUGCAUACAUACAUACAUACACACACACACACACACAUUGCACACAUACACACACACACACACACUGCAUACAUACACACACACAGACACUGCAUACAUACACACACACACACUGCAUACAUACACACACACACACUGCAUACAUACACACACACACACACACUGGUCAGAUGCACACACUGCACUCACACGGACAUACACACUCUCACACACUGACAUACACUCACACACACCAUGCAUACAUACACACACACCCUGCAUACAUACACACACACCCUACAUACAUACAUACACACACACACAUUGCAUACACACACACACACACACUGCAUACAUACAUACACACGCACACACACUGCAUACACACACACACACACUGUAUACACACACACACACACACUGCUUUAUGAAAACCCCAAAUUCCAAAUUUCUAAUCUCAAUUUCAAACCCCAAAUUCCAAGCUUUAUGAAAACCCCAAAUUCCAAACCCCAAAUUCCAAAUUUCUACUGCAUACUUACAUACACACACACACUGCUUUAUGAAAACCCCAAAUUCCAAAUUUCAAACCCCAAAUUCCAAAUUUCUAAUCUCAAUUUCAAACCCCAAAUUCCAAGCUUUAUGAAAACCCCAAUUUCUAAUCUCAAUUUCACCUAAAUAUCAAAACCCUAAAAUUUGUUCAACUGCAGAAUCAAAUAAAGCUCAAACCCAAAACAAAUCCGCCCAAAUCGACGAAAAAAAUCCACCCAAAUCGACGAAAAAAAUCGAACAAUCGAAGCUUACCAGACAACUGGAGGCAGAUGAGGGCGAGCAGAUCUGUUAUGUGAAGACGAUGGAGCGGACGACGAGAGGAACAGAUGAGGAGCAGGAUGCAACUGACGGCGAGCAGGACGCAGAGAUGAGGAUGAGGAGGACGACGUGAGGGAGGAGGACGUCGACAACACUCUCUCCUAGGAUGACCGAGGUUCUUUCUCGCAAGAGCGCAAUCGGAUGAGAAGGACGACGUGAGGGAUGAGGUCUUACGAAUCCGGACGUUUUUUGGGUGGUUCGCUAAGAACUCCUAGCGAGGGGUUUAAUCCGUGCGAGUCGGAUCUAAUCCCAUUAAACCUAAUCCUUGCCCCUACCAAACAUCAGACUACAAUACCAAUUAGUGUAGUCCAGUCCAGUCCCCCCUAAGAAGGUCAAACAAACACGCCCUAAGUGCUUUUCCAGCUUAUGGAAUGUUGUCAGGAUGGAGUACACAUGGCUAUAAAGCCUGUCCACAUUGCAUGCAUGAUAAAGAAUCUAUUUACUUACCAGCGAGUCGUAAGAUUUGUUAUAUGGGGCAUCGACGUUUUCUUGAAGAUAAUCAUAGGUUUCGAAAGCAAACCAUAAAUUUUAAUGGUCGUCGAGAGCAUCGUAGUGCACCAAAGGCAGUGGACUGGUUUACAGUGUCUCGAAGAACUUUCUACAUUGAGAUUUACUUUUGGAAAACCAAAGAAAGAUGCUUCUGUUGGGCAAUGCAGAAAAAGAACUUCGAGCAGUACAAGUAGUAACAGUCAGUGGAAGAAGAAAUCUAUUUUUUAUGAACUACCUUAUUUGAGGCAUCUGUUGAUUAGACACAAUCUCGAUAUUAUGCAUAUCGAGAAGAAUAUAUGUGACAGUGUGGUGGAAACAUUGCUAGAUAUAGAAAAGUCUAAAGAUGGAUUAGCUGCACAUGAAGAUCUUGAAGUCUUGAACAUAAGACAUAGUUAACACCCACGUAGAGAAAGAAAUAGAACAUUUCUACCUCCAAAGUACGUUUUGCAAAGUGUUGUCUACCAUUCGGGUCCCCGAUGGAUAUUCUUCAAAUUUAUUGAGAUGUGUGCAUAUGAAUGAACGAAAAAUACAUGGGUUGAAAGGUCAAGAUUGCCAUGUUUUAAUGCAGCAGUUACUCCCGCUUGCAAUAUGCUCGGUUUUGCCUAAAGCUGUUACUAUGGUAUUAUUAGAGUUGAGUGCAAUUUUCAGACAGUUGUGUAGUAAGAAGGAGUCUGAGGAAGGAUUCAAGCAAUUGAAUUCAAGAAUUGCCUUGACAUUAUGUCAACUUGAAAAAAUAUUCCCUCCUGCAUUUUUUGAUAUAAUGGUGCACCUUCCAGUUCACUUGGCAUAUGAAGCAGCUCUUGCAGGGCCUAUUCAAUAUAGAUGGAUGUAUCCAAUUGAACGGUAAUUAAUAAAUUUUUAUAAAUUUUUUACAAUUGUAGUCAUAGCUUUAAUUUAUAAUUAUAAUAAUUUGUGUUUCAUUUAUAAUUGUAGGUAGUUGUGUAACACCUACCCCCAUUUAUAAAAUAUAUUUAUGUAAUUAUCCCCUAAAUUUUAUAAAUCUAUCAUUUUAAUCCUAUUUUGACUACCCUAUCAGGAUCUAAAAGUUGGAAUCCUUUUCUUUCUCAAGCUGCCACGUGGCAGCACCCCAAUCACCCUCUCAUUUUUCUCUUUAUCCCCCCCGUGACCCCCAUCUUCUUCUUCCUUCUGUCUAUCCCUUCUCUCCCUCUCGGAUCUCUCAUUUCUCUCCCUCUCUUCAUUGAAAUCUCAGAUGCGCACACACCCACAGCGACAUAACAAUUUCGAGGAAGCCAUCAUCGUCAUCAAUUUCUCAUUCUUCUCUCUCUCUCUUUCCCGUGCUACGAGGACAGAAACCCGGAAAGGAACUCCAGCGAGAUUUUUCUAUUCUCCGGUUAGGUAAGCUUUGAUUUCCCUCUAUUUCAUCCUAGAAUCUUGUGAGAAUGAGUUUUAAGUGGGUUUUAUUUCGUUUUUGUUGAGGUUUUAGGACGAAAUCAACGCAGGUGUAGGCACACCCAUCUCCGGUAAACCGUGGGUGUCGAGGGAAGUUUCGGCCAUAUCCGACCGUUCCAAGGCGAAAGGAAGGUAUAAAAACACUCCUCUUGUCUUGUACUUCAUUUUGGUACCUAGAUCGGGGUCUAUGGUUGUAGUUUGUGGUUGGCCAGAGCUGUAGAAGCUCCGGCGUUCUUCUCCGUCGACGCCAGGCCUUCAAGCCGUUUCUAGGACAAGCGGGCCUUAGGCCCGUGGUGAACCUAAGCCCUUUUUGGGCCAUUCUAGAACUUGGGCUUCAAGCCCGUUCGGUCCAUAUCCCAUAUUUUAAUAUUCUGUUAUUUAUAUUUUUGUUAGUUAUUUAUUAAGACCCAAAAGGCCUUCGGGCUGUCCCAUUCAAGGAUUAAGGCUCGUUGACCCAACCCAAAACAUUUUUAGGUUUUAAUCAAUUUCUGUUUUAGAAAUAAAGGCCUUAGGCCAUUUUUAUUGGGCUUUCAUCCCUUUCCCAAACCCAUUAACCUUUAAUUUAAACCCAAAACCCUUAGGGCCCAUUCGGCCAAACCCAAUCCAAAGCCCAGUCUGACUUUGACCCUUUGACCAGUUGACUCUGACUGUUGACUCGAUCAACGGUCAGCGUUGACUUUGACUUUGACCGGUCAAUGGUCAACGUUGACUUUUUGAGUUGACUUUUUGGGGUUUCGUCCAGGACCUCUCCUAGGCUAAUUUCGACGUCCUGGACCCGUUUUUUAUGUCCGUUUUUCCAAAUUCAAUCGUUUGAAUAGAGUUUACUAAAGGUACUCCUUUAUGUGAAUAGGUGCAAUUAUUAACCCCGGAAUUUCACCAUUUAUUACGUAGUUCGUAAUUUAAAUUCGUAUUCGCAAUUACAUUAUCUUUAUUAGUUAAUUUUAAUUCCACUAAUUAUAAGUUUAGUAAUCGAUUAGUUAUCGAGUUAGAAGUUUCAUAAUCAAUCUUUAUCUUUCGUUGACAUUUCAAAGUUACAACUAGUGUUUUUAAAUAAAUCUUGAACCCAUGAACGCAUAGGCGAAAGCCGUUUGCGAGUCCGAAUUAUAACGGUAUAGUUCUGGACAUUGAAAUUGUGAACUAUAGAUUGUGGGAAGCAUGGGUUAAAUGUUAAGUUAGUAAAGAAAAGAAAAAAGUAAAGUGGGGACCUAUCAGAUUUUUUUUAAAGGGUAUGAAAUGACCCAUUUGGAAAAGAAAAGGGAAGGCCACUUUCUUCCUCCCUAUUUUCGUGAAACCGUAAGGUCUACCAGUCAAAAUUUAAACUGGCCAAUUCCUCCAUUUUUCCAGUUGAUUUUCCUACCUCCUUCACCUGCAACUUGCUCAACUACCUUCCUCCUUCCCUCUCUACCAAAAAUUAAGGGUUUUUAAGGUCUAUUUCAUGUAGAACUCCAUAGGAGAACCCGGGGGUUCUCGACGAAGAAUUGUCAUUCUGGAGAGUAUCACCAUUCCCCAUCACCCUUAAUCCACUUCCCUUGGACCCAAGAACAAGACCCAACUGGUGGUUGAGGCGUUGGAACACCAAGGAAGUCGAAUUGAAGAACACCCACCUUAGGGUUUCGUUGGGUGCGAGCCAAUUUGAGGGCCUUCCUGGCCAAAUUGGACUCAGCCACAGGUAUAAAGUGUACUUUACUUGUUGAAAUCUUCAUUCUUGUAAAAUUUGAUAUUUUUUGGAAAAAAAAAGUCGAAUUUUCCUAUAUGUGACAUUUGAAUUAUGAAAAUGUUGUUGAGUGUAUAUUUUAUCGAUAAGGUCUGCCACUUGAUUAUUCUAACAAUUGACAAUCUUAUCAUUGAAUUGAGACAAGAUUUUGAUAUGCUAUUGUAGAUAUUGUUUAAGGACCUUAGGGACUUAUAAGUGAAAAUCUAGUGAUUGGAUUUUACGAAGCAAAUGACGUAAGAUCAUGGACCCUACAUUAGAACGACGGUUCGAUUCCUCAUUAAAUGUUGUUGUGGGAGACAUAUGAGAAUUUUUUAGUAUGUGAAUUAUCGAAGAAAAUCUAAAUGUGGACUUGUGCUUUGUUAGAUGGUGACAAGAACGUGAUGCCUUGACUAUCGUGCUAGGGUACAUUAGCACGAACUCCAGGUGAGUGACUUUAAUAUAUGUGAUAUUGGUAAUUACCAAAUUGUCAUAAUUAUGAUCAUGUGUGGAUAUGAAUUGGUUUUAUAAAUAUGUCCUAUUGAAUUGUUAUUCCAAUACUUCAACAUCAAUUGAUGUUUAUGAAAUGGUGUGUGGCAUGUAUAUUGGAAAUGUGGUUUGAUUUGUAUGAUUGACAUAUUGAGAUUAAUGUGAGGACUAGUAAUGAUCGUUAACCAUUAUGAUGGGGAUUUUUUGCUUAGAUAUUGUUUCACCUUCCUCUUCGGCGAUUGGUUCUAAAUUUAGUAUUUGUGCCUUAUUUCCCUUGGUUGAGCUUUUGUAAAUUAAGUAACUUGUGCUUGUCUCAUUUCUUUGAGCCGUGUAUAUAUGGUUGUUGGCCUUCCGCGAUUCCGUUGAGUGAGGGUCCGGAAUCGUAUCCACUCAGAUUCCGUUGAUAGAUGGUCCAAAAUCCCUUAUAUUCCGUGAUUCAGUUGAGUGAUAUUCCGGAAUCGUAUCUAAAUUGGGUUUCAUUUAGUUAUUGUUACAUGUUGUAUUUAGCAAUUCCGUUGAGUGAGGGUCCGAAAUCGUAUCCACUCGGAUUCCAUUGAAAGAUGGUCCGGAAUCCCUCCUAUUUCGCAAUUCCAUUGAGUGGUGGUCCGGGAUCAUACUCACAUUGGGAUUUAUUGAAUUUGAUUAUGAUGACUUCAAAGGUGUAUGCUUUAGCCAAACUGUGUCGCUCCAACUCUACUUUUCAUUGUGUUGUAUGAGAAGAUGGUUGUGAGAUGUUGUGAUUGGUUUCAGACAAACCGUUGGAUGUCUAGGUGACUCCUUCGGGGUUUACAAAAGUUGGUAUUGAUUUCUUAUGAAUGAAUUAUAUUCAAGAUAUGUAAACUGUGUUUGAUGGUUGGCAUUAGCAUUAUUCACACAUAUUUGAUAUUAUUGUCACUCUCCUAAGCUUCGCAACUUAUCCAGGUUGUUGUUUGCCUGGUGCACCAUUCCGAUGGUGUAGGCACUGAUCGUACAGGUGACAGGUUUGAGUAGACUUCGAGAAGUUUGUAGGUGGGGGUAGCAGUGCAGUUAUCAGAGACUUGGAGCGUUAGGUUACCCUUGUAUCACUCUUGUACUUUAUCUUUUGGGACUUUCUUUUGAGCACCUCAUACUUAUCCUUAGUAAAGCAAAGAUUAUGCUUCUUUUUGGGAUGUAGAUAUUUGUAAAUAUUUUGUGGAGAACUUAGCCACCUUCGCAUUAUUUUGGGUUAUCAGUUAAAGUAUUUCAUUCCGUAACUUAUACCGUAUUCAACGGACGUUAUUUCCUUGUCACGUGUCGAUUCUCGACGUAUGUUGGGAUCGGGACGUGACAAGGUGAUUCCGUUAUACUUUUUGGUACAACUUUGCACCAUCGGUGCACGGUGAGUGUACCCCUUCAAAAGCAUGUUUUAAUAAUAGAAAUACAUACAUGAAAAGCAUGAUUUAAUAAUUAUGUUUUAUGAAAUGUUUUGUGAGAUAACAUGCUUACUGAGGCUAGAUUGAAUUAUUACUAUUUUUCCUAUAACCCAUGUUCUUAUAGAAUAUCCGAUGGAUGACGAUAUGUAUUUAGAACAUGUUUAGAACACCUCUUUGUAGUAUAGAUGAUGGAUGACUUUAUACUAUGAAGUUGUUUUUCAAUAUAGAUAUAUUCAAUGGUUUUGUACUUACCUAGUGAUCUUUUCCACUACGGGUCGUAGGAAUAUAUUCUGGUCCAUCCCGGGCGACUGUUUGGUGUUGGCAUAGGGCCUAGAGUGUGUUUCCUCUAGCUAUUUAGCACAUGGAUGGGGAGCCGGAAUGGGGCCUGAAGUGUAUUUUCCUCUGACUGUCUGCUCAGAGACGGGGAGCCGGCAUGGGGCCUGGAGGUUAUCGGACAAAUCACUAGUGUUUAUUACUUAUACAUGUUAUGAAUUUAAGAUACUGCACAUCAUGCUAGGUUUCGGAAAACCUAUGUUUUUCAUUAUAUAUGUGUUUUCAUAAACCUGGAGGUUAGUAUGUUGAUAACGGCUUUAUUAUAUUUAUAUCAAAUUGGUCCACUCACGUUUGUUUUGCACCCCCUUCAGGACCUACGAACGAGGAUUACGAUUUAAGCUACGAGACAUUUCCCUACCAAUGAUUCAGUGUUAUAUUUCCUUUGUUUCGACACUUAUUGUAAUAUAGCACAUCUAUAUCUUAUAUUCUGUUUGUACUCUGUAAUAGACGUAUGCUCUGAACUUAUGUGUAUGACCAUAAUUUUAUUAAUUAGCAGUUGAACUUUUGUAUUAUGUUACUAGUUCCUUUUGACUGUUUUAACUUAUUUCUGAGCUUUUACUUAAAUUAAAUGGCUUUCGUCACCCUUCAGGUGUCGGCCAGCACUUAACCAUCCCAAUGUCCUGAAGACAUCGGGAUCGGGGCGUGUCAGAUUGGUAUAAGAGCGUGAUUCAUUCAGAGCAUACUUAGGAUUCCUUUCCACCAUUUGGUAAUUAUAAUUCUCAUUAUAUCCUUAAUUUCCAGUUGUUCUAAAUCUUUCUUGUUUCUUAUCAGAAUUAUGGAUCUUGCUGGUGUACCUCGUCGAGCUCGUUCUGGAAUAGGGGGAGGAAUCGAACAAUUGGCUAAUGUUUAACGAAAUUCCUUUACUAAUAGAUCAAAACGCACAUAUAUUGAGAUUGCUACCAGUCAUGGUAUUCCGGAUAUUCGAGUAGUGGGAGCCUGUCCGGAGGCCGAGGAAUGGUUGGAGUAGGUGGAAGACACUCUGGAUGGUAUGAGAUGGCCACCAGGUGAGUGGGCGGAGACUGCAGGUUAUUUUCUUAAGGGAGGUGCUAAGGUUUGGUGGAAAUCAGUGAAGCAUGCUCGUCCACCAGGUACUUCGAUGACUUGGGCGGCAUUCCGGAAAGCUUUAAGUGCAUAUUUUCUGAGUCCCAGUUAUCAACUGAGGAUGAGACAGUAAUUUCUGGAGUUUCGUUAAGGCAAUCUAAGUAUCACUGAGGUGGAUAAUACUUUUCGACGCCUGUCGAGACAUCAUGCAGAGACUUAUGGAAACCCUAGCGAGAUGAUGGUUCAGUUACUAAUUUGCUUGAAUCCAGACUAUCGUGAACAAGUGGCAGCCAUAAGGCAUAGAAGUUACGAGGAGAUGAUCGAGACCUGUUUGAGAAUUGAGCAAUCUAGGUGAGAGACUCAUAACCAGGAGCAGGCACAGUUUCAGGAACCACCCAUAUAUCAGGAACAACCUCGAAACCAGAACCAGAGAGGUCGUGGUUUUCGAUCUCGGAGUGUGAGGGAAUCAUGUAGCUCCUCUAAUUUUGUUGGCCCUAGACACUCUCAUUCUUUCAAACGUCAGGGUCAGGGUUUAGGUUCUUCUAGCGAGGGUUCAGGCAAUGAAUCUGGAAGGCGAUCUUUCAGUCACUUCAGAUCGCAUAUUACGUGUCACAGGUGUGGAUGCACGGGGCAUAUUGCCAGAUUUUGCCCUUCAAGACAACCUGCUGAGAGUUAUGCAUCUGUGCCGAGUUAUGGUAGAGGGGGUAAUCCGAGUUCUAGUUAUGGCGGUAAUUAUACUCAGAACUAUGGUGGGAAUGGAAGUAGAAGUCAGAAUACUCAAUUUUCCACUCAGAGACAGCCGCAACAGUUUGGUGCAGCUUCAAGUAGCCGCUCACAGGGGAAUCGAGCAGGUCGUAACGGUGGUGCAGAACGUCAGUUUCAUGGACGUAUCAACGCCAUGACACAACAGGAAGCUGAUCAAGAUCCUCAAGUUAUUACUGGUAUGUUACUUAUUUGUGGUAAUUGGGCGAGGGUUCUAAUUGAUCCGGGUGCUACUUUUUCAUUUGUGUUUUCAUCAUUUGCACUGAAUUUAAAUGCACCACCUACACCUCUUGGAUAUGAUAUGCUUGUGCAAAUGUCACAAGGAGAUCUAUUUUGUGCUUAGUGGGAGUAUAAAAGUUGCCUGGUAAUAGUGGAAUGGGAAAUGAUGGAGGCUAAUCUGGUCUCUCUUAAUUUGGCGAAGUUUGAUGUUAUUUUAGGGAUGGAUUGGCUAUCCAGGCACCAUGCUUAUGUCGCAUGUUGGGAGAAAUCUAUGACGUUCAAUCGGUCUGGACGGCCGUUGAUCACAUUUCAGGGUGAGCGAUGAAUCCUUCUUAGUAGCAUUAUUUCCCCUAUUCAGGUGACUAAAUUGUUGAGUAGGGGAUGUGUGGGAUUCUUAGCCCAUGUAGUGACAAGGGAUAAACCUUUGUUGAGACCUAAGGAUGUGCCAGUGGUGAAACAAUUUAUCGAUGUUUUUCCGAAGGAUUUACCAAGGUUACCGCCUGCGAGGGAAAUUGAAUUUACCAUCGAUUUACUUCCAGGUACAGACCCUAUCUCUUUACCACCCUAUCGAAUGGCACCAGCAGAAUUGAGGGAAUUGAAGAUUCAACUUCAAGAGUUAGUGGAUAAAGGUUACAUCCAACGCAGCAUGUCUCCCUGCGGCGCUUCUGUUUUAUUUGUUAAAAAGAAAGAUGGAUCGAUGAGACUUUGCAUCGACUACCGGCAGCUAAACCGGGUGACGGUGAAGAAUCGUUAUCCUCUGCCUCAGAUCGAUGACCUGUUUGACCAGCUGAAUAGUGCUCAGCUGUUCUUUAAGAUCGAUCUUCACUCAGGUUAUCAUCAGCUGCUAAUUCGGGAGGAAGAUGUAUCGAAGACUACCUUCCGCACUAGGUACGGACACUUUGAAUUUCAUGUCAUGCCUUUCAGAUUGACGAAUGCACCUGCAAUGUUCAUGGAUUUGAUGAACAGAGUUUUCAGACCGUAUCUAGAUCGGUUUGUGAUUGUGUUCAUCGAUGAUAUUUUGAUCUUUUCCAAGAGUGUUAGCGAGCACAGGAAGCAUUUAAGGUUGGUGCUGGAAAAGUUGAGAAGUCAGCAGCUGUAUGCUAAGUUUAGCAAGAGUCAGUUCUGGCUAAACCAAAUCAGCUUUCUCGGUCAUGUAGUAUCUGCUGAGGGGAUUAGUGUGGAUCCUCAGAAGGUGUCGGCAAUAACUACGUAGGAGCAACCGAGGAAUGUUACAGAAGUGAGGAGUUUUCUUCUAGGUCUGGCUGGCUAUUACCGAAGAUUUUUUAAAGGUUUCUCAUCCAUUGCCUUACCUUUGAAUAAGUUGACUCGGAAGGAAGUUGAGUUUAAGUGGGAUGAAGAUUGUGAGCGGAGUUUUCAGGAGCUGAAGCGAUGUCUCACUCAAGCUCCCGUUCUUACGCUUCCGGACGAUAGCGGUGAGUUUGAGAUCUACACGGAUGCAUUUCUGUCAGAUUUGGGUUGUGUAUUGAUGCAACAUGAUAAAGUCAUUGCUUAUGCUUCUAGACAACUCAAGAUUCACGAGAGAAACUAUCUCACUCAUGAUUUGGAACUUGGUGCAGUGGUGUUCGCUCUAAAGAUUUGGAGACAUUAUUUGUACGGUGAGAAGUGUCGCAUCUUUACUGAUCAUAAGAGCCUCAAGUAUAUCUUUACGCAGAGAGACUUGAACUUGAGGCAGAGAAGAUGGAUGGAACUUACCACUAAUUAUAACUGCACGAUUGAAUAUCAUACCGGACAUGCCAAUGUAGUGGCGGAUGCACUUAGUCGAAAAUAUCACGGACAGCUUGCAUCCCUUCAAGCUAUUCAUGUUCCGCUACUAUUUUCUCUUCGAGAAACAGGCGUGCCGGUGAGACUAGGUGAACAGGGAGCUUGGUUGGCACAUUUCCAUGUUAGACCUGUUUUGGUGGAUAUGGUUCUAGAAGCCCAAGAGCUUGAUCAGGAAUGUGCCGACAGAAAGAUUUCGGUGGAAAAAUGAGAAGAUGAACAUUUUAUUAUCCGCAAGGAUGGAGCCUUGAUGUGGGAAAACAGAUUGUAUGUGCCUCAUGAUAACGAAGCAGUAAAAAGGGAAAUUCUGGAUGAAGCACACAUGUCAGCAUAUGCCAUGCAUCCGGGAAGCACUAAAUUAUAUCGCAUUAUCCGUCCGUUUUAUUACUAGUUAGGAAUGAAGUGGGAUGUGGUGGAUUAUGUGAGUAGAUGCAUCAUUUGUCAACAGGUGAAGGCUGAGAGGCAAAGACCUGGAGGAUUGAUGCAGAAUCUUCCGAUACAAGCGUGGAAAUGGGAAGACAUCACCAUGGAUUUUGUAUAUGGUUUGCCGAGGACACAGUCGAGAUUGGACGACAUUUGGGUAAUUGUUGAUCGACUUACUAAGACCGCUCACUUCUUGCCUGUUCGAUAGACCUAUCCACUGGAGAAAUUAUCGAAGUUGUUCAUCGAUAAUAUUGUUAGAUUUCAUGGUGUACAUGUCUCUAUUGUUUCAGACAGAGAUCCCAUAUUUACUUCCAGGUUUUGGAAAGCUUUUAAUAUUGCCAUGGGUACUCAAUUGUUGUUUAGUACUGCCUAUCAUCCACAUACUGAUGGUCAGUCUGAGAGGAAAAUUCAGACAUUAGAGGACAUGUUGAGAGUGUAUGUUCUCCAAUGGAAGGGUAGUUGGGAUAGCUAUUUGUCGUUGGUUAAGUUUGCGUACAAUAAUAGCUAUCAUUCGAGUACUGGUAUGGCACCAUAUGAAGCUCUGUAUGAGAGAGUGUGUCGGAUGCCGUUGUGUUGGGCAGAGGCUGGCGAGCGAGUAUUGCUGAGACCAGAGAUUGUGGACACUACCAAUGCGAACAUCCAGCUGAUUAAGAGAAACCUCAAGGCAGCACAAGACCGACAAAAAAACAUCGCGGACAAACAUUCCAGGGAUCGUGAGUAUAAAAUUGGUGAUUAUGUAUUCUUGAAGUUGUCUCCUUGGAAGGGUGUUGUUCAUUUUGGUAAGCAAGGAAAGUUGAGUCCUCGAUACGUUGGUCCUUAUCAAAUUACAGAGAGAAUUGGUGCAGUUGCCUAUAGAUUGGAGUUGUCACCAGAGUUAUCUCUGAUUCAUAACGUUUUCCAUGUUUCCAUGCUUCGGAAAUAUGUAUCAGAUUCCUCUCAUAUCAUUCAGCUAGAGCCGCUGGAAGUAAGUCAGGAUGUUAGCUAUGUCGAAGAACCAGUGAAUAUUUUUUAUCGACAGGAUAAAGUGUUGAGGAACAAGGUUAUCUCGUUGGUGAAGGUGUUGUGGAGGAACCACGCUAUUGAGGAAGCGACGUAGGAAACGGAAGACCUGAUGAGGAGUCAGUAUCCGUUUUUAUUUGCUUAAGGUUGUAAUUUCGGGGACGAAAUUUUUAUAAGGGGGUAGAUUGUAACACUCACCCCCAUUUAUAAAAUAUAUUUAUGUAAUUAUCCACUAAAUUUUAUAAAUCUAUCAUUUUGGUCCUAUUUUGACUACCUUAUCAAGAUCUAAAAGUUGGAUUCUUUUUCUUUCUCAAGCUGCCACAUGGCAGCACCCCAAUCACCCUCUCAUUUCUCUUUAUGCCCCCCCCCCCGGUGACCCCCAUCUUCUUCUUCCUUCUGUCUAUCCCUUCUCUCCCUCUUGGAUCUCUCAUUUCUCUCCCUUUCUUCAUUGAAAUCUCAGACGCGCACACACCCACGGCGACACAACAAUUUCUCGGAAGCCAUCAUCGUCAUCAAUUUCUCAUCUUUCUCUCUCUCUCUCUUUCCCAUGCUGCAAUGACAGAAACCCGGAAAGAAACUCCAGCGAGAUUUUUCUAUUCUCCGGUUAGGUAAGCUUUGAUUUCCCUCUAUUUCAUCCUAGAAUCUUGUGAGAAUGAGUUUUAAGUUGGUUUUAUUUCAUUUUUGUUGAGGUUUUAGGACGGAAUCAACGCGGGUGUAGGCACACCCAUCUCUGGCGAACCGUGGGUGUCGAGGGAAGUUUUGGCCAUCUCCGACCAUUCCAAGGCGAAAGGAAGGUAUAAAAACACUCCCCUCGUCUUGUACUUCAUUUUGGUACCUAGAUCGGGGUCUAUGGUUGUAGUUUGUGGUCGGCCAGAGCUGUAAAAGCUCCGGCGUUCUUCUCUGUCGACGCUAGGCCUUCAGGCCGUUUCUAGGACAAGCGGGCCUUAGGCCCGUGGUGAACCUAAGCCCUUUUUGGGCCAUUCUAGAACUUGGGCUUCAAGCCCGUUCGGUCCAUAUCCCAUAUUUUAAUAUUCUGUUAUUUAUAUUUUUGUUAGUUAUUUGUUAAAACCCAAAAGGCCUUCGGGCCGUGCCACUCAGGGCUUGAGGCCAAUUGACCCAACCCAAAACCUUUUUAGGUUUUAAUCAAUUUCUGUUUUAGAAAUAAAGGCCUUAGGCCAUUUUAUUGGGCUUUCAGCCCUUUCCCAAACCCAUUAACCUUUAAUUUAAACCCAAAACCCUUAUGGCCCAUUCGGCCCAACCCAAUCCAAAGCCCAGUCUGACUUUGACCCUUUGACCAGUUGACUCUGACUGUUGACUCGGUCAACGAUCAGCGUUGACUCGAUCAACGGUCAGAGUUGACUUUAAUUUUUUACUUUGAUUGAUCAAUGGUCAACGUUGACUUUUUAGUUGACUUUUCGUCCAGGACCUCUCCUAGGCUAAUUUCGACGUCUUAGACCUGUUUUUGAAGUCUGUUUUCCCAAAUUCAAUCGUUUGAAUAGAGUUUGACUAAAGGUACUCCUUUAUGUGAAUGGGUGCAAUUAUUAACGGUGAUUCCGUUAUACUUUUUGGUACAGCUUUGCACCAUCGGUGUACGGUGAGUGGACCCCUUCAAAAGCAUUUUAAUAAUAGAAAUGCAUACAUGAAAAGCAUGAUUUAAUAAUUAUGUUUUAUGAAAUGUUGUGAGAUAACAUGCUUAUAGAGGCUAGAUUGAAUUAUUACUAUUUUUCCUAUAACCCAUGUUCUUAUAGAAUAUCCGAUAGAUGACGAUAUGAUAUUUAGAACAUGUUUAGAACACCUCUUUGUAGUAUAGAUGAUGAAUGACUUUAUAUUAUGAAGUUGUUUUUCAAUAUAUAUAUAUUCAAUGGUUUUGUACUUACCUAGUGGUCCUUUCCGCUACGGGACGUAGGGAUAUAUUCUGGUCCGUCCCGAGCGACGGUUUGGUGUUGGCAUAAGGCUUGGAGUGUGUUUCCUUUAGCUAUUUAGCACAGGGACGGGGAGCCGGCAUGGGGCCUGAAGGUUAUCGGACAAAUCACUAGUGUUUAUUACUUAUACAAGUUAUGAAUUUGAGAUACUGCACAUCAUGCUAGGUUUCGGAAAACCUAUGUUUUUCAUUAUAUAUGUGUUUUCAUAAACCUGGAGGUUAGUAUGUUGAUAAUUGUUUUGUUAUAUUUAUAUCAAAUUGGUCCACUCACGUUUGUUUUGCACCCCAUUCAGGACCUACGAACGAGGAUUACGAUUUAAGCUACGAGGCAUUUCCCUACCAGUGAUUCAGUGUUAUAUUUCCUCUGCUUCGACACUUAUUGUAAUAUAGCACAUCUCUAUCUUAUAUUUUGUUUGUACUCUGUAAUAGACGUAUGCUCUGAACUUAUGUGUAUGACCAUAAUUUUAUUAAUUAGCAGUUGAACUUUUGUAUUAUGUUACUAGUUCCUUUUGCCUGUUUUAGCUUAUUUAUGAGCUUUUACUUAAAUUAAAUGGCUUUCGUCACCUUUCAGAUGUUGGUCAGCACGUAACCAUCCCGAUGUCCCGAGGACAUCGGGAUUGGGGCGUGUCAAUUUGUAAACAUUGAAGCGCUAUGUUCGUAAUAAGGGUCGUCCUAAAGGUUCUAUUGCUGAAGCAUAUUUGGUGGAUGAAUGCUUGUCCUUCUAUUCCAUGUAUCUUAGAGAUGUCGAGUCUCGUCGCACCCGUAAAGGCCGAAAUGAAGAUGGUAUUGGACGUGGAGUGUCUAGUGGGUUAUCAAUUUUGACUCCAAAUGAUGUCAUAUGGGUUCAGGAGAAAAUGUGGAGCUCGAUCUAAAAGUUCUUGAUCAGUGCCAUAGAUACAUUCUAAAGAAUUGUGAUGAAGUUCACCCAUUUAGAAAGUAAGAACAUUUAAUCUUAUGUCUUAAUGUUUUAUUGGUUUUCAUAACUUUGAAAAAUUAAUUAUCUAAAUUUGGACAUAAAUGCCCAGGCAACAUGAGGAAUUCUUGAAAAUGAACAUCGUCGAAAAGGUUAACGAUGCGACAAAUUCAGGAGCUAAGCAAGAAAGAAUUUCCAGAAUGGUUCAAGUUACAUGUGAGUUGAUACAACAAUUACAUUAUUUAUUUAUAUUUUUACAUUUUAAUUAUAACAUGAUUAUAGUUAACAUGUCAACUUUUAUCAUCAUUUUGAUUACAGAUGAAUUCAAGAUGUCAUCUUAAUGACACGUUGAUAUCUCAAGACUUGCAUUGGCUAGCUAAUUAUCCUAGCAGGGUUGUGAGUAGAUAUAAAAGUCACAUUGUUCAUGGGUUCAGAUUUCAUAUAAAAUAUGUGGAUGACAAGCAUAAGAAUCAAAAUUGUGGUGUCUUUGUACCUGCAAAUGUUCCUGGUGCAAUUAGGCAAGUGAAUUGUUAUGGCAGAUUUGUAGAUAUGUUCGAGGUUAAAUAUUGUGGUCAUGCUGAGCCAGGAGAUAGGGGUCGAGCUGUGAUGUUAUUUAAGUGCGAAUGGGUUAAUAGUGAAAGUCCACAAGGAAUGAAGACUAAUCAAUAUGGAUUUACUAUGGUGAACUUCAAUCGAUUAGGAUUUAAAGAGGAUUCUUUCAUAUUAACAUCACAAGCAUUACAAGCAUUUUACGUCGAUGACACAAUUGAAAAAGAUUGGCACAUAGUUGUUCGAACGCAGUCAAGGGAUUUGUUUGACGUAUUAGAGGAUAGUGAUGCAAUUGAAGAUUAUGCGGUACCAAAUUUGGAUGAUCAGAUACUUGACCAUGAAAAUUUCCAUACAAGUGUUGGCGUGGAAAAGACUCCUUUUCAUGAAUCAUUACCGUUGCCUACCCAGUUCGCUAGUAAUGCCAAUGCCGACGACGACACGACAGAUGAUGACAUAGAAUAAUAUAUUAAGUGUUUUAUGUGUUUUAAGUAGUAAUUAGACAAUAUUUUUGUUUUCUAUUACGUAUAUGGUUUAAGUUCAAUUUUAUUUAUUAAAAUCUUAAAAUGUUAUACGAGAUAACAAAAAAAAAAAAAAAAAAAAACUCGAUAUUUAUUUUUUAUGGGUUAAACAUCUGUCUCCCGUAGCGCCGCACUUCCCUCUCCGUUUCUCCUCUUCCCUCCUGCCCUUGCGAACUCAAAACGUUAAUCGUAUUUGCAUACUCAACUUGAACAAACUGGAAACAAAACAUUCCUGGAUUAUCUGAUCUAUGGCAAAAGAUUUUAGUUUCUUGUAUGCAAGUAUGCGCACUGUUUUGAAUGUUCAAGUAUACUAGUUUAACAACAAAAGGAUAAAAAAAAUGCACUCCUCUACCUCCCCAAUCUUACAAAAAUCCAAAUCAAAUGCGGCUAUAGUUCUCUCUACGGUUCCUAUCUUGGUCUAAUUGUCGGUACGACUCCGCUAACAAGGUCACUGCCAGAGACGUCUAUAGAGACGUAAGGAUGCCUCGCUGCAUUGGAUGAGGGUGGAAGAGUCACCACCUUUCCACCACUAGUGCUCGUCACUGAUUCCGAUGUUCUGCUGUCAGACUCCGGCAUCAUAAACCAUAUGUUCUCGAGUUCCCGAACAACCUCCGCCAUUGAGGGUCUCGCGUCUGUCUCCUCUUUGCAACACUUGAGAGCCAAACUCAAGAACUUUUCCACACACUCGGAAGGAUAAGACCCCAUUCUUCCAUCAAUAACUGAGAAGAUCAUACCGGAUUGGAAUGCAAUGUUUACCUGAAGUGCAAAAGAACUUGUAAAUAACACUAAACUGGUGCAUCCAGUCGAUCACAAGGAUUAAUUAGCGUCAACCAUAAGUGGUCUUGACUAAGACGUUAUAUCCUUACAUGCAAAGCAUAGAAGAUGGUCUACAUGUAUAGUGUUAUCCAAAACACAGAGUCUGUAAUUAGGUUCGAGUAAUUACCUCUCGAACAAUGUUUUUGCCAUGUGAGAUUGGCUGCAUGCCUGUUAAGAGCUCCAAAAACACAACACCAAGGCUAUAAACAUCGCUCUUAUCCGUUAGCUUAUGAGUUAAGAAGUACUCCGGAUCAAGGUAACCCUGAAAAAUCAAUUCAAAUAAUAAGAGAGAUUUUAAUCUGUGUAGCUAUUAGUUAAGUACAAUGCUUAUGAGUCUUACCGGUGUCCCCUUCACUACUGUGGAUACAUGAGCAGGCACAGUCCCUUCAAAAUCUGGAACCGGGGCAAGACGGGAAAGGCCAAAAUCAGCAACCUUUGCCAUGAACUUAGAGUCCAAUAAUAUAUUGGUGGCCUUGAUAUCUCGAUGAAAUAUCGGAGGGUUGGCUUCUGUAUGGAGGUAUAGGAUGCCCUUGGCUGAUCCCUGAGCAAUUCUUAAUCUCAUCUCAAAACCCAGUGGUUCUUUAGACCUAGCUGCUGAGACACUGAUCAAUUAUAAAGCUUGUCGAAUGGCAUGUUAACCGAAAUCCCUAUUGUAAAUUCUUAAUCAAACGUUUACGAGCGGUAAAUUCCUCUACCGAAAUUCAGACAGAGAUGAAUUAAGAACCAAAGACAGUAAAACAAGAGUAUUAGGUUUACCAGAAAGGUGAUCCCUUAGAGUUCCAUUGGACAUAAACUCAUAAACCAACAUCUGCACGCACAAAAAUAACACACGUCAAGCUUUUCCCAAGUAAAAUUGUUGGUCCGACAUAACAAAAGAGGGCAAGAAGAGGAGAAAAAUGUAGCAGAACUACAUUCAGAAAGGAUAAGCAAAUGUACCUGUUCCCCUUCUUCAUCACAAUACCCGACUAAGGACACGAGAUUCCUAUGAUGUAAGGGUGACAAUAAUUCUAUUUCUGUUAGAAACUCCUUCUCGCCCUGUAAUGAUCCCUCUUGUGCACGUUUUAUGGCCACAACGGUUCCGUCAGCCAGGAUGCCUUUAUAAACAUUUCCAUAACCUCCUUGUCCAACUUGAGCAGAGCUGUUAAAGUUGUUUGUAGCCGCGGCCAUUUCUCUAAAAGUAAAAUCCUUGACACCUUCAAUUUUUAUGGAGCUCUUGGUUGCUGCAUAUAAACGAAGGUGCACUGUUAAAAGUGAAAUUAGUUGGACCAAGAGCUGAUGCACCUGUUCAAUCUUGUUAAAUUCAAUUGGGUGCGGGGCUUCUCAGGGUUCCUAACUCGGGAGAAGCCCCAUGGAAAUGAUCAUUUAUACAAAUAUGUCUUUUGCCUUAUGAUAGUAAGACACUCACUACGACGUCUUCUUGAAAUUGCAUGGCGAUCCUUCAAAUGCUUUCUCAAUAUAAGAAGAGAAACAAUUGCAGAUACUGUAACGGCACCAGCAAUAGUCCCUAGUAUGAUGCCAGCCAGAGCACCUUUGCCUAGACCGGACUUUGAAGAGGAGGCAACCACUGUGACAUCAAGAAGAGCCGUGAGAUCAACAAAUCAAAAUCAACACACGAUUUCACAUCUAGAAAAAACAAGGCUUUUGAGACAUACCAUCCUUGUAAGGAUCCAGUAGAAUGAAGUCGAGAAGUUCAUAGGGUCCAAAUAGGCCACUGUCAGGAAUUGCCCAUGAUGCGAACAUAUUCAUGAUUCUUUUAACUUCAGUUCUAUUGAAAGUAUGGGAAUUAUUGGCAUUUUCAACAUAUACAGGAAAAAGCUUCAGAGAAAUUCUCAGUCGAGGUCCGUUUUCCCAUACAAAUGAAGUAAUGUCCAGCUGAUCGAGAUCUAAUUUGAUACCAGAAGUAAGAUACUGCUCAAAUGUACUUUCGUAAGGGCGAAAAUCUGUGAAUGCGGGACUUUUCAACCGAAUGUCAACAAUUAGAGG
rnacentral:lncRNA from 1 species